AUAAGGGCGAUCAAGCUUCCAUGCGUUCAUGAUAUUUUGAGAUGCAAUCAACUCAAGCUUUAAACCAGGUCUUCGUGGCUUCAUCAAAACAUGAAUCUAAGAAGGCUCCGUACAAUGAUUUUGAGGGUCCCAGUUUCAAUCCCUAAUACCGUUUAAGAAUCAGUUGACUGGAAGCGGCAGUACCUAAAGUCUGGGUAGAUCGAGUUUCAAGGUUUUGCUUUCAUACUACUCUGACUACUUUAUGAAAUCUGAUAGAAGUUCUUCAAAAGGAAACUAACGUUAAUUCUUUGAACAAAUUGUUUUUUGAGGUUUUGUUUUAAGCCUUCUUCUCUGACCAUUUUAUGAAAAUCCGAUGUUAUCACUUACAAGGUUUUGAGAAAUUAACAGAGUCUUGGGAAGGAAUUGAAUUAAAA